GAUGAGCGCUGGCGGCGUGCCUAAUACAUGCAAGUCGAGCGAACAGACGAGGAGCUUGCUCCUCUGACGUUAGCGGCGGACGGGUGAGUAACACGUGGAUAACCUACCUAUAAGACUGGGAUAACUUCGGGAAACCGGAGCUAAUACCGGAUAAUAUAUUGAACCGCAUGGUUCAAUAGUGAAAGACGGUUUUGCUGUCACUUAUAGAUGGAUCCGCGCCGCAUUAGCUAGUUGGUAAGGUAACGGCUUACCAAGGCAACGAUGCGUAGCCGACCUGAGAGGGUGAUCGGCCACACUGGAACUGAGACACGGUCCAGACUCCUACGGGAGGCAGCAGUAGGGAAUCUUCCGCAAUGGGCGAAAGCCUGACGGAGUAACGCCGCGUGAGUGAUGAAGGUCUUCGGAUCGUAAAACUCUGUUAUUAGGGAAGAACAAAUGUGUAAGUAACUAUGCACGUCUUGACGGUACCUAAUCAGAAAGCCACGGCUAACUACGUG
rnacentral:rRNA from 1 species